CCUACGGUGGGCAGCAGUGGGGAAUAUUGCGCAAUGGGCGAAAGCCUGACGCAGCGACGCCGCGUGAGGGAUGAAGGUCUUCGGAUCGUAAACCUCUGUCAGCAGGGAAGAACGGUCACUGUGCUAAUCAGCAGUGCAUUGACGGUACCUGCAAAGGAAGCACCGGCUAACUCCGUGCCAGCAGCCGCGGUAAUACGGAGGGUGCGAGCGUUAAUCGGAAUUACUGGGCGUAAGGCGCUCGUAGGCGGUAUGUCAAGUCAAGGGUGAAAUCCCCGGGCUCAACCGGGGAACUGCCUUUGAAACUGGCAAACUUGAGUGUGUGAGAGGAUAGGGGAAUUCCAGGUGUAGGAGUGAAAUCCGUAGAUAUCUGGAGGAACAUCAGUGGCGAAGGCGACUAUCUGGCACAUAACUGACGCUGAGGAGCGAAAGCGUGGGUAGCAAACAGGAUUAGAUACCCGAGUAGUC
rnacentral:rRNA from 1 species